GACAGAGGAUGCAAGCGUUAUCCGGAAUGAUUGGGCGUAAAGCGUCUGUAGGUGGCUUUUUAAGUCCGCCGUCAAAUCCCAGGGCCUCAACCCUGGACAGGCGGUGGAAACUACCAAGCUGGAGUACGGUAGGGGCAGAGGGAAUUCCUGGUGUAGCGGUGGAAUGCGCAGAUAUCAGGAAGAACACCCGUGGCGAAGGCGGCUCUCUGGAACGCAACUGACGCUGAGACGCGAAAGCGUGGGGAGCAAACAGG
rnacentral:rRNA from 1 species